GACGAAGGGGGCUAGUGUUGUUCGGAAUUACUGGGCGUAAAGCGCGUGUAGGUGGUUGUCCAAGUUGGAUGUGAAAGCCUUGAGCUCAACUCAAGAAAUGCAUUCAGGACUGGGCGGCUAGAGGACCGGAGAGGAUAGUGGAAUUCCCAGUGUAGUGGUGAAAUACGUAGAGAUUGGGAAGAACACCAGUGGCGAAGGCGGCUAUCUGGACGGUUUCUGACACUAAGACUCGAAAGCGUGGGGAGCAAACAGG
rnacentral:rRNA from 1 species